rnacentral:rRNA from 1 species
GUGCCAGCCGCCGCGGUAAUACCGGCAGCUCAAGUGAUGUCCCAUAUUAUUGGGCCUAAAGCGUCCGUAGCUGGCCGACCAAGUCUCCCGGGAAAUCCACCCGCCCAACGGGUGGGCGUCCGGUAGAAACUGGCCGGCUUGGGGCCGAACGACCCGAGGGGUACGUCCGGGGUAGGAGUGAAAUCCCAUAAUCCCGCACGGACCACCGAUGGCGAAAGCACUUCGAGAAAACGGAUCCGACAGUGAGGGACGAAAGCCAGGGUCUCCAACCGGAUUAGAUACCCGGUAGUCC